rnacentral:rRNA from 1 species
GAUGAACGCUGGCGGCGUGCCUAAUACAUGCAAGUCGAGCGAACAGACGAGGAGCUUGCUCCUCUGACGUUAGCGGCGGACGGGUGAGUAACACGUGGAUAACCUACCUAUAAGACUGGGAUAACUUCGAGAAACCGGAGCUAAUACCGGAUAAUAUAUUGAACCGCAUGGUUCAAUAGUGAAAGACGGUUUUGCUGUCACUUAUAGAUGGAUCCGCGCCGCAUUAGCUAGUUGGUAAGGUAACGGCUUACCAAGGCAACGAUGCGUAGCCGACCUGAGAGGGUGAUCGGCCACACUGGAACUGAGACACGGUCCAGACUCCUACGGGAGGCAGCAGUAGGGAAUCUUCCGCAAUGGGCGAAAGCCUGACGGAGCAACGCCGCGUGAGUGAUGAAGGUCUUCGGAUCGUAAAACUCUGUUAUUAGGGAAGAACAAAUGUGUAAGUAACUAUGCACGUCUUGACGGUACCUAAUCAGAAAGCCACGGCUAACUACGUG